GAUGAACGCUAGCGGCAGGCCUAACACAUGCAAGUCGAGGGGUAGAACACUUCGGUGUUUGAGACCGGCGCACGGGUGCGUAACGCGUAUGCAAUCUACCCUAUACAGGGGAAUAGCCCAGAGAAAUUUGGAUUAAUGCCCCAUAGCAUUACGACUUGGCAUCAAGAUGUAAUUAAAGUUCCAACGGUAUAAGAUGAGCAUGCGUCCCAUUAGUUAGUUGGUAAGGUAACGGCUUACCAAGACAAUGAUGGGUAGGGGUCCUGAGAGGGAGAUCCCCCACACUGGUACUAAGACACGGACCAGACUCCUACGGGAGGCAGCAGCGAGGUAUAUUGGUCAAUGGGCGCAAGCCUGAACCAGCCAUGCCGCGUGCAGGAAGACGGUCCUAUGGAUUGUAAACUGCUUUUAUACAGGAAGAAACAUCCCGACGUGUCGGGACUUGACGGUACUGUAGGAAUAAGGAUCGGCUAACUCCGUGCCAGCCGCCGCCGUAACAC
rnacentral:rRNA from 1 species